rnacentral:rRNA from 1 species
GGCUCAGAUUGAACGCUGGCGGCAUGCCUUACACAUGCAAGUCGAACGGCAGCACGGGUGCUUGCACCUGGUGGCGAGUGGCGAACGGGUGAGUAAUAUAUCGGAACGUACCUUAUCGUGGGGGAUAACGCAGCGAAAGCUGCGCUAAUACCGCAUACGCCCUGAGGGGGAAAGCGGGGGACCGUAAGGCCUCGCGCGAUUAGAGCGGCCGAUGCCUGAUUAGCUUGUUGGUGGGGUAAAAGCCCACCAAGGCGACGAUCAGUAGCUGGUCUGAGAGGACGAUCAGCCACACUGGGACUGAGACACGGCCCAGACUCCUACGGGAGGCAGCAGUGGGGAAUUUUGGACAAUGGGCGCAAGCCUGAUCCAGCAAUGCCGCGUGCAGGAAGAAGGCCUUCGGGUUGUAAACUGCUUUUGUACGGAACGAAAAGGCUCUGGUUAAUGCCUGGGGCUCAUGACGGUACCGUAAGAAUAAGCACCGGCUAACUACGUG